rnacentral:sRNA from 1 species
CAAGCAAUAGAUGUCUGCUCCAGACUCUGAGUUUCCUAUAAUAAAGAGAUUGGGUCUACUGUGUCUACCAGAGUAGCCGUCAUACAAGAGUCAACUCAUGGGAUUUGUAAAUGUAGCUAAUUUGUGUUUGGGCAUUCUGAUCACCUGAGAAAGGAGAAGAGAGAGAACACUGUCAGUGACCAAGGUCGCUGUGAAGAUGAAAGGAAAUCAUAUUCACUAAGCAUUGAGCUCAAGGUCUAGCAUGGAGCAAGCACCUACUAAAGUCAGCUGUGUAUCCCUGCAGACCAGAGGGAUGUCUUGAGGCAGUGUGUGGACCGGGGAACUAAGGGCCUUUUGGAAAACAUCUGGAGACUGCAUAUCCAGCUUCAAACAUCUCAAAUCAAGCUGCCAACAUUCUCGUCUCCCUUCAGCAAACUCCAGACCACACCUGCAGAGGCUCUUAGAGCCAUUGUGUCUGAGGAAGCCUGCCUCUCUGAGGAGACUACUUUGAAAAUGGAAAUGGUGGGUUCCAGGAGACUCCAAGGAGAGGGGGUCCUCCACCUACCUUCCAUAAACCUCUUUCUACUAACCAGUUGCCUUCCACUGCGGCACCGGAAACUCUGGCCUUAUCGUGCCUAAUUAAAGCUGAUGUCUCCUUCAGACUUCAAUGUGUCAGGUCUCUGCCAGUAGAGAAGCUGGAUUCCCCACUCUCUGGGCCCUUGGUCCAUAACGUAUAAGCAGUCUGUGGUCACCGAACCCACGGGGCUCUAGAGGUCACUCAAGUUGACAGAGGGAUGGCGGAUGAGAGAGUCUGUGAGCAGUUGUCAAAACUGCCAACAGCCUUUGAUCUUUGUCAAUCUGGUUAAGAUGCAUUCUGCCUUUGGGGAGCUAGAAAUGUGGUCAGUUGGUAGAGUGCUUGCCUCACACAUGCAGAGCCCCACACCAGAUUCCCAGCACUGACUAAACAAGGUAUGCUUGCACGCUCUAGAGGGGUGGGCAAGAUCAAGAAUUCUAGGUCAUUCCCAGUUGUGUACCAGGUUCAAGACCAGCCUGGGCUACCCAUGAGGUGUCUGACAAACCUGCUUUCUUUGCUUCUUGACUGGGUUAUGCCGGUCCCCAGAAAGUCUUGAGGAAUCCCUGUCCUGAUAGUUACCAGGUCUGGGCAAGCUCCGAGACUUCCUAGUUCCUUCUCAGGAGGUUCUGGUAGAGCCCCAUGACUUUGCUGAAGCCCAAGGUCCGGAUCUGUAUGUAAGGACAGUCACAUCUAGCUCACAGUGUCCGUGGGGGCACUCAGAGUUAGCCCUCAAUAAAAGGAAACCAUUGCUGUUAAUAGUUAUGAAUAGUGGAAAUGGACUUAUGACUUAAUAAAGACAGCAUGCUGGUAGACAAAA